AGCAGCCGCGGUAAUUCCAGCUCCAAUAGCGUAUAUUAGUGUUGUUGCGGUUAAAAAGCUCGUAGUUGAAUUUCGGGAUUGGGAUAUAUCGGUCGUGCCUUUAGGGGCAUGAAAUGGUGUGUAGCCAAUUUCUCACCUUCUGAUGAGUCGGGAUGCUCUUGGGUGUUUCGAUGAACCAGGACAUUUACUUUGAAAAAAUUAGAGUGUUUAAAGCGGGCAUUUUUGCUUGAAUACAUUAGCAUGGAAUAAUAAAAUAGGACGAUGGUUCUAUUUUGUUGGUUUUAGGACCACGUAAUGAUUAAUAGGGAUAGUUGGGGGCAUUAGUAUUCAAUUGUCAGAGGUGAAAUUCUUGGAUUUAUUGAGGACUAACUACUGCGAAAGCAUUUGCCAAGGAUGUUUUCAUUAAUCAAGAACGAAAGUUAGGGGAUCAAAGACGAUUUAUGUACGUCGUAGUCUUAACCAUAAACUAUGCCGACUAGGAAUCAGACAAAGUUCAUUUUUUAACGACUUGUUUGGUACCUUACG
rnacentral:rRNA from 1 species